rnacentral:rRNA from 1 species
GAGUUUGAUCGUGGCUCAGAACGAACGCUGGCGGCGUGGAUAAGACAUGCAAGUCGAACGCGACUUGUUCUGUAGCAAUACAGGAUAAGUUGAGUGGCGCAGGGGUGCGUAACACGUGGGAAUCUGCCGUAAAGUUGGGGAUAAUUCCGGGAAACCGGAACUAAUACCGAAUGUGACUGAAAGGUCAAAGCUGGGGAUCGCAAGACCUGGCGCUUUACGAUGAGCCCGCGGCCUAUCAGCUAGUUGGUGGGGUAAUGGCUCACCAAGGCAAAGACGGGUAGCUGGUCUGAGAGGACGACCAGCCACACUGGAACUGAGACACGGUCCAGACACCUACGGGUGGCAGCAGUCGAGAAUUUUUCUCAAUGGGCGCAAGCCUGAAGGAGCGACGCCGCGUGGGGGAUGAAGGGUUUCGAUCCGUAAACCCCUGUCAUUCGUGAACAAUGGUUAUCGUUUAAG